GAGCACGUAGGUGGUUAAGAAAGUUGGUGGUGAAAUCCCAAGGGUUUAACCUGGGAACUGCCACUAAAACUUUUUAACUGGAGUAAGAUAGAGGUAAGCGGAAUUUUUAGUGUAGAGGUGAAAUUCGUAGAUAUUAAAAAGAACACCGAUUGCGAAGGCAGCUUUCUGGAUCUUUACUGACACUGAGGUGCGAAAGCAUGGGUAGCGAAGAGGAUUAGAUACCCUCGUAGUCCAUGCCGUAAACGAUGUGUGCUAGAUGUUGGGAAUUUUAUUCUCAGUGUCGCAGCAAAAGCGUUAAGCACACCGCCUGGGGAGUACGACCGCAAGGUUAAAACUCAAAUGAAUUGACGGGGACCCGCACAAGCAGUGGAGCAUGUGGUUUAAUUCGAAGAUACGCGCAGAACCUUACCAACACUUGACAUGUUCGUCGCGAACCUAAGAGAUUAGGUUCUUCAGUUUGGCUGGACGAAACACAGGUGCUGCAUGGCUGUCGUCAGCUCGUGUUGUGAGAUGUUGGGUUAAGUCCCGCAACGAGCGCAACCCUUACUUUUAGUUGCUACCAUUUAGUUGGGCACUCUAAAAGAACUGCCAGUGAUAAGCUGGAGGAAGGUGGGGAUGACGUCAAGUCCUCAUGGCCCUUACGUGUUGGGCUACACACGUGCUACAAUGGUAUUCACAAUGGGAUGCAAAGAGGCGACCCCAAGCAAAUCCCAAAAAGGUACCUCAGUUCGGAUUGCACUCUGCAACUCGAGUGCAUGAAGCUGGAAUUGCUAGUAAUCGCGGAUCAGCGCGCCGCGGUGAAUACGUUCCCGGGUCUUGUACACACCGCCCGUCACACCAUGGAAGUUGGUUACACCUUAAGGCAAAGCAUAAAACCUUGACUACG
rnacentral:rRNA from 1 species